rnacentral:rRNA from 1 species
UACGUAGGUGGCAAGCGUUGUCCGGAUUUACUGGGCGUAAAGAGCGCGUAGGCGGGACGGCAAGUCGGGCGUGAAAUCCCUCGGCUCAACUGAGGAGCGUCGAUCGAAACUGCCGUUCUUGAGGGUUGCAGAGGAGACUGGAAUUCCCGGUGUAGCGGUGAAAUGUGUAGAGAUCGGGAGGAACACCGGUGGCGAAGGCGGGUCUCUGGGCAACUCCUGACGCUGAGGCGCGAAAGCGUGGGGAGCAAACGGG